rnacentral:rRNA from 1 species
GACGAACCGUGCGAACGUUGUUCGGAAUCACUGGGCUUAAAGGGCGCGUAGGCGGGCGUCCUAGUCAGGGGUGAAAUCUUUCGGCCUAACCGGAAAAGUGCCCCUGAUACUGGACAUCGCGGGGGAGGUAGGGGCGUGUGGAACUUCCGGUGGAGCGGUGAAAUGCGUAGAUAUCGGAAGGAACGCCGGUGGCGAAAGCGACGCGCUGGACCUCUUCUGACGCUGAGGCGCGAAAGCCAGGGGAGCUAUCGGG